AAACACACACCAUUUGAGCCCCAGAUCAGUAUAAUUAGAUGACAUCAAAAAGGGGUGAAGACACCAUGUAGAGAGCAUAUGGCUCUUUUUUUUUAUAGCAGAGCUUUGAAAUCACUUUCAAAGAAAUAUGAAAUACAAACUUUGUCAUGCUGUUUCAUAUCUCGAGUGCAUGUGGAAAUGAAAAAGAAAAACGGCUUGUGAUCGCUACAGAGUGUGGAGAUAACGACAAAAAAGCCAUUUGUUUGUUACGAGGAUAAUUUGUCUUAAAGGCGGAGGUUGGGACCAAAAUGGAGACAUUUUUUUAUUCUUGAUAUUUUACAGUCAAAUUGCAGUAUCUGUAGCCCCAUUCACACGGCAGUUUGCAUGUGGGGAUCCUGCGCCAAUUCUCCGCCUCCUCCUCUGUGUGAAAGUUUCAGAUGUGGUGAAAUUUCACUUGGGGUGCUGAUCCGCCUCUGGAGGUGUCAGGGCCAUAUUACUGGCGAACUGAACCAGUGUGAACGGAUAAGCGGCGCGGAGCGGGGGGGCGUGUCUCGUCCAGUCUGAUGUAGUAAUUGUAACUGUCUUCGGCAACUUAUAUGAGGGAAAAAAAUACCACAGCUGUUUGUGGAGAAGUGUCCGUCCUCCUGUCUGUCCUACCAACUCCGGGGGACACUGGGUAAACACCUUGAAAACAAACUGACAUCAUCAUCAUGACGUGUACCGUUACGCCUCUUUAGCAGCCACAGCGCCGGCUUUCUGUGUGAAUUACACAGCAGUUCGUCUUUAAUGCGGAGAUGCUUCACUCUGUGUGAAUCACUAUUGGCGGUGAAUUGGCAAACCAACGUUGCAGAGAUAAUGCGGCAUCGCUGUGUCAAUGAUGAUGAUGAUGAUGUCGCAUCUCAGUUACUGGAAAAAGUUCACUGCACCUGCUCAGAAUAUUGUUGAAUCUUUCUUUGAAUCGUUGAAUCAGUGUAGACUUUAUCGCCACAUACUGGCCCGGCAAGCCUGUUCCGGCAUUUGUAAUAGUUUGUGUCCGGGUGUGUUUGGAGAUAAUUUCAAAAACAAAAGUCGUGUGGCGGAGUGGAAAAAUAUCUGUUCUAGUGAAAACUUUGUCCUAACCUGCUCUGAGGGAAAUGUUAUGGGCCUCCAAAGAGAUUACAAAUCCCCCUCAGGAAACACAAACACAAAGUCUGACCGCUUUGGGACUAAAUGUUGGACGCAUCAUCAAGCCUCAGUUCUUUGGCAGGAAAGAAAACACGUGUUGAGAUGUUAUUGAAUAACUCUGUUUUACUACCCAGGAUGCACAGCUUCAGUUUCACUUAAAACAUCAUCUUUGCAGCAAUAUGGUCUCUGUACAUUCUGAACCUCGGUGUUAAGUCUCGUCGUGCUGUAUGCACAUGUCAGGUGAGUGAAAAACUGAGCUACUUCCAUGACUCCUCCUGGCUCCUGCUCAUUCAGGAACAACGAGAGCAGCUGGAUGAAACCUGAACUAGAUGCAGGAAUAAAGUCUCCCAGAUGCAGGAGUGAUAAUGGAAGAUCUGCUUUAGACUUUUUACUGUAAAACUGGAGACAAAACAAAUGAUGUCUUUCUGUCACAGAAAGAAAAAUAAGAGAUUGUCAAGGAGACUGGUGCUCCGAUCUGACCCGGAGUCAUUCACCUCCAUCCAUUUAUCAGCGGGGGCAGGUUAACAUAUAGUCUAGAAUAUCUGAUCCUAUUUUAGUGGAAGGAUCCGGUGUGUCACGUCUUUAACAGAGAGUUCAGUCAGAAGUGAAGUUUGUUCAUUAAAUGUGUGUUUGGAGGCCUGAGUCCAGGGCGCAGCGCGGUGUACUGACUCCAGCACCGAGGCGCGUACUUUGGGAAGAUGCCAACGCCACAAGAAAUGUUUGAGGACCAUCAACGCUCUGCUGGCCCGGUCUUCAUAUUUUAGCAGUUACACCUACAAGUACUGGCCACGACAAAACACCAGCAUUUCCUGCUGGAUGACAGCUGGAUCGGACUAAGGAGGGGGGAGAGCGAGGAAGAGGACUAACAGAAAUCUCCAAAAACAUUCUCUGAGCGCACAUCAGCGUGGAAAAUCAACACAGAUGUCAACCUUUUUUUUUUUCUUUUUUUUUUUUUAACUCCCAGACCCAAUGUCCGCUUGGUUUGUUUUUGUUUUUUGCUUCCCCCCCCCCAUCACUCCCUUGCACAAAUAUUGUUCCAAUCCCAGCUUUUGAUAAAGAGCCCGACUCUGGCGCAACAAGUCCCCUCAGUCCAGCCGCGUCCCUGUUCUCAGCCGAGCGUCUCCUGUCGACAUAACGGUGCGCACGGCGGGUCCAGUCAUCUGCUAACGCCAUCAGAGGCUUUUAUCUGAACCCGGCUGCUUUCUCCAGACCACGUCUACGUGGCAGUGAGAGCAGUAGAUAGGUAGGUGUAGCUUACUCCCUGACUGGUUCCCUGGAUGUCCAGCUCAAAGUCUUGAUUCGGGGGUGCCUGAAAUUCCUUCCAACGGACAACUCCUAGAGACUGUGCCUGCCCGGCUGCCUGCGCAACUCUGGUGUCAAAGUCGCAGAAGUGUAAUAAUGCAAGACUCCAAAUCCAGUAGACAGCCAGGUAACCCUUUCAUGUUUGUGUGUCCGUGCGGAAAACAAAAGAGCAAUAUCCCCCUCCUUCACCAGCGUGCCCCUGUGUCUCAAGUUGUUCUAUCAGUUUUGUAUCCAGAUGAAGUCGCCUUGAUGCUCUCUGCUGCGUCUCCGUGCCUCUCUGCGCUGGCGCGGCUGCUCCACCAAGCUCUCUCUCUCUCUCACUCUCUCUCUCUCUCUCUCUCUCUCUCUCUCUCUCUCUCUCUCUCUCCCUGACCGACCGACUGCCACACACUCUCUGCAGGAGAGGGAUCUUUGUCUGCACAUGACGUCACUCACACACAUGCACACGCAGACACACUCACGCAUACACACUGAAAAAAAAAACAACUAAUAGAAAUGCUUAAUGUGUGCCAUUAAAACGUUGCUGGAGACCA